rnacentral:tRNA from 9 species
GCGGAAAUAGCUCAGUUGAUAGAGCAUUAGCCUUCCAAGCUGAGGGUCGCGGGUUUGAGUCCCGUUUUCCGCU